UAAGGUGACGAUAGCGUUGGGGUCCCACCUCUUCCCAUUCCGAACAGAGAAGUUAAGCCUAACUGCGCCGAUGGUACUGCGUUACAGCGGGAGAGUAGGUCGUCGCCAAAU
rnacentral:rRNA from 1 species